CCUACGGGGGGCAGCAGUGAGGAAUAUUGGUCAAUGGACGAGAGUCUGAACCAGCCAAGUAGCGUGAAGGAUGACUGCCCUAUGGGUUGUAAACUUCUUUUAUAUGGGAAUAAACUGUUCCACGUGUGGGCUUUUGUAUGUACCAUAUGAAUAAGGAUCGGCUAACUCCGUGCCAGCAGCCGCGGUAAUACGGAGGAUCCGAGCGUUAUCCGGAUUUAUUGGGUUUAAAGGGAGCGUAGGUGGAUUGUUAAGUCAGUUGUGAAAGUUUGCGGCUCAACCGUAAAAUUGCAGUUGAAACUGGCAGUCUUGAGUACAGUAGAGGUGGGCGGAAUUCGUGGUGUAGCGGUGAAAUGCUUAGAUAUCACGAAGAACUCCGAUUGCGAAGGCAGCUCACUGGACUGCAACUGACACUGAGGCUCGAAAGUGUGGGUAUCAAACAGGAUUAGAUACCCUUGUAGUC
rnacentral:rRNA from 1 species